AUUCCUGCCAUCAGACCUCCUGAUCCUAUCGAUAGUUUCCUAUCACACUGCCACCACCAUCAUUUUUGACCUACAUUUGUACAUUUAUUUCGUUGUAAGUAAUCACGUGUUGAUAAUUUAGAAGAGGAUCUGCGCAGGAGCAAACGCGUAGUUGAGUGGUGCGGAGUUGGCCAAACGCGAGGAUUAGGCCAAUGUAGCAGCCAAAGGAGUAGCAGCGUACUUGGCCACCAGUAGAGCAGCAACGGGAGCAAUCUCAGAAGCAGCAUCGAUGCCAUUGUUGUUCCUGGCGAUAAUCUGGCUACUGGUGGCGGUCUCAGCGCAGGCGACUGGGGGUCCUUUCUAAAAAACCUGACUGCAGAAGGUGGAAUAACUCUUGGUGGCCACUGAAUUCGACUGCCUGAGGUCACAGACGCAGUCCCGAUGCGGCGUAUAAAGAGUGGUAUGGAAUGUGUUGUGCCGUGACAAGAUCAAGUUUCCGAACCGAAAGCACCAUAUCCAUAAUCAAAAUGUUAAAUGUUAAAAUCCGCCGUCCUUGCCUUGGCUUGCUUUUGGCCUACACUGUUGACGUGGCUUACUCUCCUCCUCUGACUCACUCUGAUCCCGCUGUC